CUCAGAACGAAGGCUGGCGGCAUGCUUAACACAUGCAAGUCGAACGAGAAAGUCACUUCGGUGGCGAGUAGAGUGGCGCACGGGUGAGUAACGCGUAGGUAACCUACCUCAUAGCGGGGGAUAACCAGGAGAAAUUCUGGCUAAUACCGCAUACGUAGCACGACAUGGGAAAAGUGCUAGAAAGAAUGCCUCUCCUUGGAAGCAUUUACUAUGAGAUGGGCCUGCGUUGCAUUAGCUUGUUGGUGGGGUAAUGGCCUACCAAGGCAACGAUGCAUAGCUGGUCUGAGAGGAUGAUCAGCCACACUGGAACUGAGACACGGUCCAGACUCCUACGGGAGGCAGCAGUGGGGAAUAUUGCGCAAUGGGGGAAACCCUGACGCAGCAAUGCCGCGUGAGUGAGGAAGGCCUUCGGGUUGUAAAGCUCUGUCAGAUGGGAAGAACAGCAGUUGGUCCAAUAGGCCAUCUGUUUGACGGUACCUUCGAAGGAAGCACCGGCUAACUUCGUGCCAGCAGCCGCGGUAAUACGAAGGGCGCAAGCGUUGUUCGGAUUUACUGCGCGUAAAGCGCGCGCAGGCGGAUUGAUAAGUCAGAUGUGAAAUCUCGGGGCUCAACCCCGAAACUGCGUCUGAAACUGUUGAUCUAGAGUUAUGUAGGGCAGAAGGGAAUUUCGCAU
rnacentral:rRNA from 1 species